rnacentral:rRNA from 1 species
UAGGGAAUCUUCGGCAAUGGACGAAAGUCUGACCGAGCAACGCCGCGUGAGUGAAGAAGGUUUUCGGAUCGUAAAACUCUGUUGUUAGAGAAGAACAAGGACGUUAGUAACUGAACGUCCCCUGACGGUAUCUAACCAGAAAGCCACGGCUAACUACGUGCCAGCAGCCGCGGUAAUACGUAGGUGGCAAGCGUUGUCCGGAUUUAUUGGGCGUAAAGCGAGCGCAGGCGGUUUCUUAAGUCUGAUGUGAAAUCCCCCGGCUCAACCGGGGAGGGUCAUUGGAAACUGGGAGACUUGAGUGCAGAAGAGGAGAGUGGAAUUCCAUGUGUAGCGGUGAAAUGCGUAGAUAUGUGGAGGAACACCAGUGGCGAAGGCGGCUCUCUGGUCUGUAACUGACGCUGAGGCACGAAAGCGUGGGGAGCAAACAGG